rnacentral:rRNA from 1 species
AUGCAUGCCCGCCCGCCCGCGCACACAGACGACGCGCCCGCGCAGGUCCGCUAUCGCCAGGGACGAACGACGUGCGUGCGUGCGACGGCGUCUCCGGUCCUACGCGCGCCGGUCAACCCAGCCAUGGCUGUCGCCUCCCCUCGCCGCGGCCGCGGCCGCGGCGGCGCCGUCGCUCUCCUCCUCCUCCCCGUCCUCCUCCUGGCGUGCCGGGCGCCGGCCGCGGCAGGCUUCAACACCGAGUUCGAGGAAGACAAAUCGCCCAAGCUCCCCCGCUGCGACAACCCCUUCCAGAAGGUGAAAGUGAUGUACUGGGUGGACGGCGAGCAGAUGAGCGCCCUGAUCGGGAUGACGGCGAGGUUCGGCGGGAUGGUGCCGGACACCGCGGCCGCCGCCCCGAAGCUCCCCGCCGUGAUUCCCAGCUCCAAGACCGGCUGCCAGAAGUCCCCCCAGCUGGCUGGCAACAUCGCCGUGACGGAGCGCGGCGAGUGCACGUACCUCGAGAAGGCGAACGCGGCCGCGUCCAGCGGCGCCAAGGCGAUGGUCAUGGCCAACGACAUCGACGAUGUGGGGAAGAUGGUGUGCAGCAAGAACGACACGGCGCUCGACUUCAAGAUCCCGGUCGUGAUCGUGUCGCGCUCCAACGGGCUCAAGAUCUUCGAGGCCAUGGACGGCGCGAAGAAGGUGGAGAUGCAGCUCUUCUCGCCGAACAAGGCGGCUUUCGACGCCGCCAUCCCGUUCCUCUGGCUCAUGGCCGUCAGCACCACCGCCUGCGCCGCCGUCUGGACCGCCGUCGUCGUCGGCGAGGAGGAGAAGAAGGCUCCUCCGGAGGGCGACCAGGAGGCUGCCAAAACGGAGGAGCCUGAGAUCGUGGAGCUGCAGGCCGAGACGGCGUUCGUGUUCGUCAUCGUGUCGUCCUGCGUCCUGCUCUUCCUCUUCUUCUUCAACUCCAUCUGGUCCGCGUGGUUGAUGGUCGGGCUCUUCUGCCUCGGCGGUCUCCAGGGCUUGCACUUCCUCGCGUCGACACUCAUUGUCAGAGCAUGCAAGAAGUGCGGCGACACGAAAAUAAAGCUCCCGGCGGUCGGGAACGUGACGGCGGUGACGCUCGUCGUGCUGCCGAUAGCGCUGUUCAUCGUCAUCAUGUGGGCGACGCACCAGACCUCGCCGUUCGCCUGGGUUGGCCAGAACCUCAUGGGCAUCGGUAUGAUGAUCCUCGUGUUGCAAAUAGUGCAAAUGCCAAACAUAAAAGUGGCGUCGGCGCUUCUGAUCAGCGCGUUCCUCUACGACAUAUUCUGGGUGUUCAUCUCGCCCUUGAUAUUCAAGAAGAGUGUCAUGAUCACGGUUGCCAAGGGCACGGACAACGGGCCGAGCCUGCCGAUGGUCCUGAAGAUGCCCAAGGAGUUCGACGUGUGGAACGGCUACGACAUGAUCGGCUUCGGCGACAUCCUCUUCCCAGGGCUCCUCGUCGCCUUCAGCUUCAGAUUUGACAGAUCGCACGGGAAGGGCGUGGGCAACGGUUAUUUCCCCUACGUCAUGAUCGGCUACGCAGUUGGGCUGUCAUGCACGUAUGUCGGCCUGUACCUGAUGAAGAGCGGCCAGCCAGCCCUGCUCUACCUCGUCCCCUGUACGCUAGGAACCAUCGCUGCGCUGGGCGCGCAGAGAGGGGAGCUCAGCCAGCUCUGGAACGCCAAGGCAUAG